AGAAAUCAAGAAACGGACGGUCCUGAUCUAACCGUUUGAGAGGAUCAAAUGGCUUAGAUUUAAUGGAGAAUGGACAGUCUAGAUCGAGCUAGCAAGAUGCAACGGUUGGGGAGGACAUGUAUAAAAAGGAAAAGUUUAGGGUGUUUCUUCAUUUGGGUGAGUAGCCGAAAAAGAGAGAGGAGGAGAAAAAGAGGUGAGCCGAUUAGGUGAGAGGGAAGAGAGGAGAUUGUCGUGCGCUGGAAGCUGAGAAGAAGAAAAAAGGAGAGGAAAGGAAGAGGGAGGCCAGAGAAAGAGAAGAGGAAGGAGAAAAAAAGAGUGGCCAGGCGGGAGAGGGAAGGAGAAGCCGAGAACUACUGACGCAAGGGGAAAAAGGGGAAGAAGAGAGAGGCGGAGCAGGAGAGCGAUGGAAACCGAGGUAAAAGGAAGAAGGAGGAAGAGGAAAUGACCCGAGGCACCGUGCGGCGAUGGAGACUGACGCGAACAAGGUAAAAAGGGUUUGUUUUGCGUCUUUUCUUCCCCUAAUUUCCUUUCAAUCUUUUUUUAUUUUACACUAAUCGGUUUUUUAGGCGUGAAAAUCAUCAUUCCAAUCGUAAGCAAGCCAGGGAGCCGCAGAGUGGCCGAGAGUAAACUACUGGGAGCCAAACUGAGGCCAAAUCGGCCCAUGCCGGAAAGGUAAAGCUUUUUUUUUGUGUGUUUUUGGUAGCUGUUGAGUGACGGGGGAACGGUGGUUAGUGUCGGGCUAGCUGCGGGAGCUCGGCCGGGACACCCACCCGCGCGGGAACUGAGGAGCUUUCCUCGGGAUUGGGAAACUAGCCCACCAGUGGAAGCCGAGGGACCUUCCUUGGGAAUGGAGACCGGAUUCACCCAUUCGGGAAUCUGAUCCGCCGAUCGGGAAGUCGAAAGGUCUUCUCCAAGUACAAAUCCUGAUAUUUUUGGGUAUUCUGUAGGGUUUUC
rnacentral:lncRNA from 1 species